rnacentral:rRNA from 1 species
GCCUAACACAUGCAAGUCGAGCGGUAGAGAGAAGCUUGCUUCUCUUGAGAGCGGCGGACGGGUGAGUAAUGCCUAGGAAUCUGCCUGGUAGUGGGGGAUAACGUUCGGAAACGGACGCUAAUACCGCAUACGUCCUACGGGAGAAAGCAGGGGACCUUCGGGCCUUGCGCUAUCAGAUGAGCCUAGGUCGGAUUAGCUAGUUGGUGAGGUAAUGGCUCACCAAGGCGACGAUCCGUAACUGGUCUGAGAGGAUGAUCAGUCACACUGGAACUGAGACACGGUCCAGACUCCUACGGGAGGCAGCAGUGGGGAAUAUUGGACAAUGGGCGAAAGCCUGAUCCAGCCAUGCCGCGUGUGUGAAGAAGGUCUUCGGAUUGUAAAGCACUUUAAGUUGGGAGGAAGGGUUGUAGAUUAAUACUCUGCAAUUUUGACGUUACCGACAGAAUAAGCACCGGCUAACUCUGUGCCAGCAGCCGCGGUAAUACAGAGGGUGCAAGCGUUAAUCGGAAUUACUGGGCGUAAAGCGCGCGUAGGUGGUUUGUUAAGUUGGAUGUGAAAUCCCCGGGCUCAACCUGGGAACUGCAUUCAAAACUGACUGACUAGAGUAUGGUAGAGGGUGGUGGAAUUUCCUGUGUAGCGGUGAAAUGCGUAGAUAUAGGAAGGAACACCAGUGGCGAAGGCGACCACCUGGACUAAUACUGACACUGAGGUGCGAAAGCG